GACGGGGGGGGCAAGUGUUCUUCGGAAUGACUGGGCGUAAAGGGCACGUAGGCGGUGAAUCGGGUUGAAAGUGAAAGUCGCCAAAAAGUGGCGGAAUGCUCUCGAAACCAAUUCACUUGAGUGAGACAGAGGAGAGUGGAAUUUCGUGUGUAGGGGUGAAAUGCGUAGAGAUCGGGAGGAACACCAGUGGCGAAGGCGGCCUACUGGGCUUUAACUGACGCUGAGGCACGAAAGCGUGGGUAGCAAACAGG
rnacentral:rRNA from 1 species